rnacentral:rRNA from 1 species
UACGUAGGGUGCAAGCGUUGUCCGGAAUUAUUGGGCGUAAAGAGCUCGUAGGCGGUCUGUUGCGUCGGCUGUGAAAACCCGAGGCUCAACCUCGGGCCUGCAGCCGAUACGGGCAGACUAGAGUUCGGCAGGGGAGACUGGAAUUCCUGGUGUAGCGGUGAAAUGCGCAGAUAUCAGGAGGAACACCGGUGGCGAAGGCGGGUCUCUGGGCCGAUACUGAC